rnacentral:SRP_RNA from 1 species
CCGUGCAGCCGGGGAGGUAGCGGUUCCCUGUACCCACAAUCCGCUUGGUGGGGGUGAUGGUUUGCCGAGGGUUAAUGACCUUUAUGGCUGCCCUAUAUAAGUGAUGUUGAUAUCCGGGUCUUGCGCAAUAUGUGCCUGCGAACCGUGUCAGGGUGGGAACGCAGCAGCACUAAGCGGGAUUUCAUAUGUGCCGCGAGGGUGCCUGGAUGGAGUUAACUGUAUAGGUAACGCGUACUGGUGUCGCUCGAAGCAGACCGCACGG